rnacentral:misc_RNA from 1 species
UCCCUAAAAAAGGGCAGUCUCGUCUGACACUUGUAACAGACGACAAGGGUUGCGUUCGUUGCCCGACUUAACGGUACAAUUCAAACCACGAACUGACGACGGCCAUGCAUCACCUGUCUACGAGCCCGAAGGCCCCUCUGGUUUCCCAAAGAGUUCUCGUAGAUGUCUAGUCCUGGUGAGGUUCUUCGUUUAGCUACGAAUUAAGCCACAUGAUCCACCGCUUGUGCGAGUCCCCGUCUAUUCCUUUGAGUUUUAAGCUUGCGCUCGUACUACCCAGGCGCCUAACUUAACGCGUUAGCUUCGCCUCGGAGAGGGUCGAUACUCCCCAAAGCUAGUUAGGAUCGUUUAGGGCGUGGACUA